GUCAGGAGCUGCUCUGCGGGAGGCGCAACUGACGAAGGGCGGCACCGGGGCAGUACCUCGAAGCGAGCCGAACGCACGACGGGCGGCGCCCGCGCCCCUGCUAUAAAUGCCGCGCUCGGUCCCUCGAAGCACGAGGAUGCCAGCGCUGCAGGCGGUGUUGCCGUGUCUCCUGCUCCUGAAUCAGGCAACCACUGAUACCAAUGUAGUUUCCACACAGGGCCAGGGGCCUCCAGGCUCCCAGUCCUGCAGCCCCGGGGAAUACCGGCCAGUGGGCCGCUGCUGCAAGGCCUGCCCAGCCGGCCAUCUUGUCGGUGAGCACUGUAGGAGGUCCCACUCCUGGGGACAGUGUCUGCCAUGUCCACCCGGGACCUUUAUGGAGAGGCUCAACGGAAUGGAAGCCUGCUUCAAGUGCUCCACCUGCUCCAAGAGCCCCAGGGACUGACUGCCAGGGGUUUAGCUGAAGCUGGACUUUUCUGUGACCAAAAUGCAACAGUCCCCCGAGCUCGGGG
ensembl:lncRNA